rnacentral:rRNA from 1 species
AGAGUUUGAACCUGGCUCAAAAUGAACGCUGGCGGCGUGCCUAACACAUGCAAGUCGAACGGUCGCAAGACAGUGGCGGACGGGUGAGUAACGCGUGGGAAUCUGCCCUCAGGUAGGAAAUAACGAUGGGAAACCGCCGCUAAUGUCCUAUAUAGCGCAGGCUGAAAGAUUAAUCGCCUGAGGAUGAGCCCGCGUCCGAUUAGCUAGUUGGUAGGGUAAAGGCCUACCAAGGCGACGAUCGGUAGCUGGUCUGAGAGGAUGAUCAGCCACACUGGGACUGAGACACGGCCCAGACUCCUACGGGAGGCAGCAGUGGGGAAUUUUCCGCAAUGGGCGCAAGCCUGACGGAGCAACGCCGCGUGGGUGAAGAAGGCCCGUGGGUCGUAAAGCCCUUUUGUCAGGGACGAACAAGAUGACGGUACCUGACGAAUCAGCAUCGGCUAACUCCGUGCCAGCAGCCGCGGUAAUUC